rnacentral:tRNA from 1 species
GGCCUUGUAGCUCAGCUGGUGGAGCGUGUACGUACAAAGUGUGGGCAGCGUUUAUGUGUGGGUUCGAAUCCCACCGAGGCUA